UACGUAGGGUCCGAGCGUUGUCCGGAAUUAUUGGGCGUAAAGGGCUCGUAGGCGGUUAGUCACGUCGGGAGUGAAAACUCAGGGCUCAACCCUGAGCGUGCUUCCGAUACGGGCUGACUAGAGGUAUGCAGGGGAGAACGAAUUCCUGGUGUAGCGGUGGAAUGCGCAGAUAUCAGGAGGAACACCGGUGGCGAAGGCGGUUCUCUGGGCAUUACCUGACGCUGAGGAGCGAAAGCAUGGGGAGCGAACAGG
rnacentral:rRNA from 1 species